rnacentral:rRNA from 1 species
UACGGGAGGGGCAAGCGUUAUCCAACAUGACUGGGCGUAAAGGGUCCGUAGACUGUGAAAUAAGUUAUUUGUUAAAUUUUAAAGCUCAACUUUAAAGCAGCCUAUAAUACUGUUUUACUUGAGUUUUAUGCAGAAGAGUGGAAUUUUAUACGAAGGGGUAAAAUCCGUAGAUAUAUAAAGGAAUACCGGUGGCGAAGGCGACUCUUUAGCAAAAACUGACGUUGAGGGACGAAAGUGUAGGUAGCAAACAGG